UACGAAGGGGGCUAGCGUUGUUCGGAUUUACUGGGCGUAAAGCGCGUGUAGGCGGUUAUGUAAGUCAGAUGUGAAAGCCCCGGGCUCAACCUGGGAAUUGCAUUUGAGACUGCAUAGCUAGGGUGCGGAAGAGGGAAGCGGAAUUUCCGGUGUAGCGGUGAAAUGCGUAGAUAUCGGAAGGAACACCAGUGGCGAAAGCGGCUUCCUGGUCCAGCACCGACGUUCAGGCACGAAAGCGUGGGGAGCAAACAGG
rnacentral:rRNA from 1 species